UACGAAGGGCGCUAGCGUUGCUCGGAAUUACUGGGCGUAAAGCGCACGUAGGCGGUCUUUUAAGUCGGGGGUGAAAUCCUGGAGCUCAACUCCAGAACUGCCUUCGAUACUGGAAGACUUGAGUCCGGGAGAGGUGAGUGGAACUGCGAGUGUAGAGGUGAAAUUCGUAGAUAUUCGGAAGAACACCAGUGGCGAAGGCGACUGACUGGACAAGUAUUGACGCUGAGGUGCGAAAGCGUGGGGAGCAAACAGG
rnacentral:rRNA from 1 species